UGAUAAACUGUAACAGCUUAAAAUCAGUGGACACAGAUUUAUCCAACUAAAUCACCCACAAUAAUUUGGACAUGGCAAGAAAGAAUCUGCAACAAUAAUUAAAAAAGAAAAAACUAAAGGAAAAAGAACUCCCAUUUUGGAUAAAGUUUUUUUUUUUAAAGCUUUAUCCGAAAGCUAAACUAGCAUAAAAAAAAGAAACAACCAGAAAGCUCUGAAGCAAACAGACUGAAGAGCGGUCUGUUGCUCCUUAUAAAGUCUUUAUGGGGGGGGUAAACUGUUGUAUCACCUUGAAGUUAAUAUGCAGAGGUUCUGUUACCUCUAUGUUGUCCUCAGUACUCGAGCUGAGGGGGGAUAGCAUCCCCCUUCUUAAAAAAAAAAAAAAAAUCUUCUUAGAUAACCAUCCCCCCAUACUAUCCCCUGUAUCAUUUAAUUAUUGAAUGUUUAAAAUUUCUACUAUAUAUUAACAGUAACGGCAAUAAUAUUGCCAUUUGAACAUUUGGGCUGUGGGCUUUAAAGAAGUGUUCUACCAUGACUAUGAAGCUGAUCCCGGUGGGAAAUGAGUCCCUAACUGUAGGAGCAGUGAUAGCCAUGCCAGUCCAGGGACUGACUGCAGUUCUACUGUAAGGUGCCUUGGUCACGGUCAAUGACCGGUGUACCUGACAUGUAACAACCAUAGCAUGCAUAGUGCUUUAGGUUAGUAGAAUAUAUUAAUUAGGUUAUAUAUGCUUCCAAAAAAAAAAAAAUCCACCAUACCCACCAUUUUUUUUAAACUAGACUACUGGUUGUUCCCAUGCAGUCACUAAAGAGCUCAUAGUUUUUAGAAGGUGAUGAUGAUCUGCACCAUCGGAUACCAUGGAAAGAAUGUUUUCCAAAGCAGCAUAAGUACAGAGGGCCAAAAAGGUCCGUAGUCUAGAUCAAUGUUCCCUCUGACGUUUCAUGCGUCUGGGUCACUGUGACAUCAUCAGAGCUACUCGCUUUGAACACACACCAAUAUUACACCCAAUUUAAAACCAGAUUCAUAGCAAGUUACAUGGUUUGUUUAAAAAAGUCAGAGUCCUGCUUUGGCCAGGCUGAUGGUCCUGCUCUGGAAGAAAUGAGACACUUUGAUAUAACUGUUUGUUUAUAUUAACAUAUUUACAAUAACAUUUUUGCUUUAGCUUGUGAUACAGUAUUAAUUCAUCUAACUCUUUGUACAAUAUUUAACUACAUGGUUUUAGAGGUUCUACUAACAUAAAUAAUUUAAUAGUAAAGCAUUUCAUGAUGAUAAUAUUCAUUAAUAAUAAAUCUGAUUUAAAUGUUACUCUUUCUUUUUUCACAUCUUGGUUGUCCACUUGUCCUCGUUGUCGGCUCAGUCUGCUUACUGUUUCCUUGAAAUUUGAAUAACAAACAGUUGCUUCUUUUAUCUUCAUUGUUUUAAGUUGAAAAACAAAUCAUUGAAUGAUACAAGGAUUGAAAAUAAUGCAUAAAAAAUGUUACCAGUCUCUUUUAUUUAUGGAACAUUAGUCAUGAUACUUCCACCCCCGUGCUUCUUCUCUCCAUCCUUCUUACCUGGUGUAGAUUCACUCUCCCAGCCUGGUUCAGGUCUACAGUUUGCAUCCUGCUGUCCUUCAGCAGACCUUUGGUGUUUUGGCCUUUGUUGGGUUUGGAGUCAGACUGUUUGAGGCUGUGGACAGGUGUCAUUUAGACAAUGAGUUCCAACAGGAGCCAUUAAAACAAGUAAUGAGUGGAGGACAGAGGAGAAUAAGUUAGAGGUCUCUAAGG